GAAAAGGACUUUUUCUUUUCCAGAAUAGCUUCUUGUUUUUGUUGCCAAUUCUUAGGGUAUUGCUGAACAUUGUACUUGGUUAGUCUUAAUUAAGCCAAGGACGAAAAGGAGAAGGGGAAAUAGGUGGUCCUGAAGUUCAAGGAAAUGGACCCAAGGCUUUCAAAUGCCAUUCUGAAGAACGAUAAAGUUGCCUUCGAAACAUUAGUUAAAGAGGACAAAGGGAUGCUCCAACAACGAUCCGCAAGUUGCUCCAACACGGUAUUACACCGGGCUUCAAGAAUAGGCCAUGCAGAAGUAGCCAGAGCAAUUGUAGAGCUGUGCCCUGAUUUGGUUUCAGCUGAGAAUGCUCAGGGUGAUAGUCCUUUGCAUGAAGCCUGUCGCGGAGGAAAUGCUGAUAUCGUGAUGUUGCUGUUGGAGACCAAACCAGAGGUAGCCACAGUACUUAACUCUAUGAAGGAGAGCGCAUUUUCCAUAGCUUGUAGCAGGGGGCAUCUUGAUGUGGUUAAGCUAAUGCUCAAUCAAAGCUGGUUAAUGGAUAUCGAAGAAGCUAGAUUCCCUUCAAAUGCUUUGCACGAAUCAGUAUCAAGAAAAAACACAAGCAUUGUGAAGGAGAUAUUGGAAGCGAGGCCAAAAUUUGCAUGGAAACGCGACAAGGAUGGGUGUUUACCUCUACACUGCGCUUGUCAAAACAGCAAUUUGGAGAUUACAAGAAUUAUUUUAGAGUACGAACCAAGAAGCUGUUUGCUGCUUAAUGAUAAAGGAUAUGCGCCAUUGCAUUUGGCAGCGAUGAAUGGUGAAGCUGCCAUAAUUCUUGAAUUUAUAUCAAGAGUGCCCGAAUCUUUCAAUUUAUUCACAAAACAGGGUGACUCUGUAUUUCACCUUGCUGUUAAAUCCGGCGACUUCGGCGCUUUCAUUAGCAUGGAGAAUAUUUUCAAGAACUCUUUCCACCUCCGCUUGCCAGACCAACACGGCAAUACAGUUUUGCAUCUUGCUGUCUCUACAGGCUGCUGCGAAGUAAGAAUCUCUCCCUAUGAUACAUACCCUGAACAAUUUAGGAAAGUGGAAGAGAAAUUAUCAUUUCACUAAAACAUAAAAUUCUCUGUACAGAAGCUUUUAUAGUCUCUCUGAUACAUGUGCACAGCACACUAACUAAAAUGAACAAUACAAAGCACUGCUAAGCCCAACAUCCAUGUUACAGCCCAUUAACAGUACAUCAGCAACUAUACUCUACAAUACCCUACAUACCUGCAAAUGUUGUUCUUUUUUUUAUCAGGCUAAGCCUGGCGGAUGCAAUUAUUGUGAUUUUUGAGACAUUGCGGUCGCUUCAUUUCAUAGACAAUCCAAACGAAAGCAAAGUAUCCGGUCUUAUUCGUUCUUAUUCUUAGACAAAAUUAUCCCAUUUUGUUUCAUUAUAUAUUGUUGUUGAUGAAACUCCUUUUUUAAACAUGACUUCAAUUUUGACACGUAGUUGUGAUUUUCAGAUUGCAGAAUACUUGAUCAAUGAACACAUAUUGGAGCUCAAUGCUCCAAAUUACUCAGGACUCACAGCGCUGGACAUACUUGAACAGGUAGUGGACAGCGAUGGAAAAAAGAGAGUUCUUACAGCCUUGUUAAUUGAAGCCGGAGGUAAAAGGAGCAAUCAACUGUUAACAGGCAUCACUUCUGCACCAACUGGAGAAGGAAAUGACAACAACAAACACCACAUAGAUGUUAAAUUGCCUUGUGUUGCUCAAGGAAAUAAGAUGAGGAAAUCUAACAAUGUGCAAAAACCAACGCCACAGAAAUUAGAUAGAAAGACUAGUUCUCACCUGCAAACGAUGCAGGUGGAGGCAUUACAAAAUGCUAGGAACACCAUUAUUGUAGUUGCAGUUUUGAUUGCAACAGUAAGUUUUUCAGCUGGGAUAAGUCCUCCAGGUGGUGUCUACCAGGAUGGACCUCUGAAAGGAAAAUCAAUGGUAGCCAAAACAACAGCUUUCAAGGUUUUUGAAAUAAGUAACACUAUUGCAUUGUGCACAUCUCUUUCAGUGGUCUUUAUACUAGUCAGGAUCAUUCCCUUUCGAAGAAAGCCACUGAUGAGAAUGCUAAAGAUGGCUGACAGAGUGAUGUGGGUAGCAGUGUCGUUUAUGGUAACAAGUUAUCUAGCAGCAACAUGGGUGAUUAUGCCGCAUGGUCAAGGCACAGAAUGGAUUAUGUCUGUGUUGGUAAUUGUACUUUGCAGUGGCACAGUGGGAAUAACCUUUACUGUUAUAGGUGUGAUUCUGGCUAAUCAAUGGCAGAGGAAAAUUAAGUGGAGGAAGUCAGAGAGUAAAAAUAAGGAACUAGGAAGCGCAGCUUCAGCCAUUGAACCCAAUUACAGUUCCGGAUUCUACUCGUACUGAUUGUUACUGAAAAAUCAUGCAUGCUUAAUUUUUGCUGGUAAAGCCUAGUGUAACUAUAGCUACAUGCAGAAAUAAAUUGAUGAAUUUCAGCGAAAGUAUUUCUCAU
rnacentral:misc_RNA from 1 species